GCGACUGAAUGAACUGCCACCACACCAGCCAUGAGUUAGUGAACUGCCACCACACCAGCCGUGCGUGACUGAAGUGACAGCCCGCCAGCCAUGACUUUGUGAACUGCCAGCCCACUAGGCAUGGCCCACUGAACUGCAAGUCCAAAAAUCCAUUCAGUCCACAAUGUCCAUACUAGCCAUGUGAAAUACAUUCCCUUCAGCG